GGAGGAUACGAAAAAGUAAAUAAAGUAGGUAGGGAUCUGGGGGAAAAUGACUUUGGCAAUCCCACCUGCCAUUGAACUCAAUGUUGUUGUUGUUUUGACUAUACACGAUUUUGGCUUUAGAAGCAAUCCCCGAGACGUAACCCCCACAUAAGUUGUGGGCUUACUGUACUGUUCCAAAUGCACUGGAAACCAACCAAUGGGAACACCCUGCUGUACGCCCGGCUGUAUAUAGUGCACGUUCAUAGGCAGAUCCUGCCUCAGAAGGCCCAGACUGGCCGGACUAUUUCCUUGUCCUCUGGCUCUGUCCAUCAUGGUGUGGGAAAGCCCUGUGACUACACACGCCUCUUGUUCUCGUUUUUGCAUUGACAUUUCUGUAAAUUGGGGGGGGGGGGAUAUAAAAGUUCGUUUUGAUUCUUAGCAAAGGAAGCCCUAACCUCACUCCUGCUCCUCUUUGAUGUAUGUAUAGACUGCAAGCGCACCUUCCUCCCCGUUUCCCGAUACGAGUCAAUGCGGUCUCCAAGUCAUGUCAUCUUCCCCUUAUGUUCAUGUACACACAAAACAUUGACGGUGAGGAGGAGGGAGUCGGGGACGCGCCCGCAGAUUUCCCCCCUUAGGAGCCCCCGGGGGUUGCCCCCCCCCCUCGCGGAAGUCUUUAGCCCAGGAGCGCGCGGCGUUACUCUCCGGUGCGAGAGGCACUGUGCACGUCGGAAUUGCUCGCGGGCUCCGGGGUUACGCUCUGAAAAGCUUGUUCUGAAAGCUCGGCCAGUCGCGAGGCGAGGGUGUGUUUGUGUGUGUUGACUCUUAGCAGCCAGGCAACAUGCUUAGGGUCGCUUCGGCGCUGGGGGGCGAUACUGGAGGGGGGCUCUGCUCCGCGUUGGAUCCGCGACUCAGUCUUAAAACUAGGACCGGGGAGGAGAAGGGAACGGCCCGCUUUGCCGCCCCUCCUUCCGGCCGUUUUGUUAACCCCGGAGUGCCCGACCCCAAGGGACGUGGAACCUGAGCGGAGGAGGGGACGAGGGCAGCUCCCCGCCCCGGACUCGGCACUUUCUGUGCUGCUGACUUGGGGCUUUCGGGGAUCCCUGCCGCCGCUCCUCGGCGAAUGCGUCGGAACUGGCUCUGCCCCCGCAAAAGGGCAGCGGGUUCACCCGGGCUGCGUGCGCGCGCCUCGCCCUGCCCUCUCCCCUCCAGGAUGUGAGCAGGGUUCCAGGAAUGAGGUUGAACCCGUUGGGCCGGUCCCCGCCUGGAGGCCCCGGAACCUCAUUCCCUGGCGCUGAGCAGGCCGGACCCGGGAGCCACAACCUCUUCCCAACGGGCUGGCCCGGUGCCAGACCCAGCGGCUCCUUGGCCCGGGCUUCGUUAGGUGGGAAAGGUGGGCAUCUGCAGGCAGGGAACUUUGAAGGGGCUGGUGUGUGCCAUUUCACACACACACACCCUUUCUAAUUGACCAAACAGCUCGUUUGUGCUUCAUGAUAACUUGGCUUGUUAAAGUUUCUGGGGUCUCGCCCGUUUCUUCAGGAAUUCCGCGCUUUACCUUCUUAUUUUGCCAUCACCACGCUCCCACUUUACUGGAGGAGAAACUGAGGCUGAGAAAUCAUGACUCAGGCAAGGCUCCGUCACGCAUUGCGCCGCGCAGCAAACCCCUUGUUUGACGUGGGGCCUAGUUCUCAAGAACAGAUGAGAUGUAAACCUGUUUCCAGAUAGUACUCUUCAGGUUUCAAGAAGGGGCUCACAUGAUGGAAUGCUCACACGCUACUAAGUGUUGAAAGCUAGUGUGUUGGCAAGAUCCCUUCCUUUCUCUGUACAGGGAAUUUGGUGUGUGUAGGUGUAAUUCAGUCAUGUGACAUGGCACCAUCCUGACACCAGUUUACUAUCUCAUCUGCUGUGAGAAGUAGGGAGCCACAGUCAGCUUCACUUCCCUGGCAAUAGUACCCCUAUAAUAUAUGCUUUUGCAUACAAAGCUUCUUGCAAACAUGCCUUGUAUUUUUUAAACAAACAAACAAACACUUAAAGUAUUUUAUUCGUGUUGUUGUUUAGUCGUGUCCAACUCUUUGUGACCCCAUGGACCAGAGCACACCAGGCACUCCUGUCUCCCACUGCCUCCCGCAGUUUGGUCAAACUCAUGCUGGUAGCUUCAAGACUGGAGUACAUUUUAUUUGUACUCCACUCUUAAUCCAUGGCUAGGAUUCCUGCUCCUUCAGGUUCAUCAUGCUAUCUACUAGUGUUGGUGUCCAGUUUAUGACGAACACCAUGAACUUGGGUCUAAGGGGGAACUCGUGAGAUCAGGAGGAGCAGGGCUUUGGUGGUCCAUUGCUAGAGAUGAAAAAAAAUAUAUAAGGGAUACUUGGGUGGUUUGGUCUCUGUAGCCUCUGAAACUGGGUAUUUCAGAAUGAAAGAACUUUAAAAUAAGGGGUAUUCCCUCAAAUCAUAAGACAUCUAGCACCUCUAACCUCUUCUCUCUGCCCCAUUCUCUGGGGGCAAGAGCACUGGGAGAGUCAGUGGAGGAGGGGAGUUGAAGGAUCUUCUGGAGCAACAGCCUCUGUCUCUGACAUCAGACACUUCCUCUCACUCUCAACCACUUCCUGAGCAGCAGCACAUUAUUUUCUGCUGGUCGACUGCAAAGUAGAGACCGGGCAUGGGGGGAGGGAAUACAUGCUUGCAAGCACAUGGCAAGGGAAUGGCGGGUUGGUUUUGCUGCAUAACCUCUCCUGAUUUUCUACCCUGAAAUGUAAAACUUGGAAAUAAGAGUUCACUUGCACUCCAGUGCUCGCAGUCUCAGCCUCCCUCCCCCACAGCAGCAGGAAGUCUGGAAGCUGGAGUUCUCUCUCGGCUCUGCUACCGACUCCCUUGAGUUCCUUGGGAAAGUCCCUGACACUCCCUAGCUCUUUUCCCCAUUAGCUCAAUUAGAAUAACAAUAAAAAAACGCUUGGAACCACCCAUUUGAUCUCUGACACGUUUAGGGCAGGGAGGUUUUAAUGAUUUUAUCAUUAGGAUCCUUAAUGAACAUGGCAGGAUUCUAGGUUUUGAAACGGAGGUGAUGUACUAGGGACAACUGCCAGACCCUAUAGCUCUUGGGUACCCAGGUGUUCAGUGCUUGCCUCCUAGAACUGUCUGGAAGAGGCACAGGAAAACAUUGGCAGAGGCUCUUGAGUCUCAAGGUGGGGCGGGGGAUUGCUGAGGGGAACCCAUUCUUUGUGGUUCAAGGCUGGCUCUGACUCAUACCUGGGCUAGAAGCUACUCUGCAAAGCUGACCCGACUAGAAUACCCCUUCUGGAUUGUCUGAACUGUCAACCUGUCCUCACAUAACCUGUCUGGGCCUGUGGUUUGUCAUGUUCUAACAAGGCUAUGCCAUCCCUUUCAAGUGUCCUACCCUGACUGAAGCACAUCCCCUUUUCUGACUGAGAUUCUCACCAUGUGUUUAUGUUCUUCUCCAUUUCUCUACCAGCAUGUUUAUCAGGCUGCUGGAGACUGUUGUGGUAGCAACCACAGAAACUACCAGCGAAACUCCUUCAGAUAUUGCAGGCUCCCUAUAUUUCUAGGCAGGAUUGUGAUUGUUAGAAAAAUCUAACACGUUCUCUCAAAUACCUGUGUCCCCCUAGUUUUUCCAAAAGCAAUUCCAAUUUUACAGAGUGACUCACCUGUAAAUGUCAUCCCUGCUCUCUAGGGCCUUCUGAUACAGGUUAUCUGAAUCACGACUUUGUGCCUGGGGAAGACAUCUAGAACUGAGGAUCAAUAGAACUGAGUGGGACUGACUUUGUCUAGAAUAUAUUUCCCAGCUGGGUUUGGAUGAACCUCUCCCCUUGGGGUAACACAGUGUGGGAAGGGAUGGAUGAGAGAAGAAAUGGGGAGCCUUUGCCUCUUCCUAUGUUGUUGUGCUAUAACUCCCAGCAUCCCUGUUGUCUUGGGCUAAUGGGAGUUAAGAGUCCAACAACAUCUGGAAGGCCACAGCAUCCCUGAAUUAGAGCCAGCUUCGGUUUACUGGGCCAUGUGAAUCUUAUGAUCCCAGAGAUCAAAACACUGGGAGACAAUUGGUGUGAUUCUUUGGAGAGAGUUGUGAUGUUUAGGAGUAUUUUGCAAACAUUUAGGGUUCAGUUCACUCAUGGGAGGAGGAGAUUGUC
rnacentral:lncRNA from 1 species